UACAGAGGGGGCAAGCGUUAUUCGGAAUUAUUGGGCGUAAAGGGCGCGUAGGCGGCUUGGCAAGUGGAAGGUGAAAUCCCUCGGCUUAACCGAGGAACUGCCCUCCAGACUGCUUCGCUUGAGACCGGGAGAGGUGAGUGGAAUUCCCAGUGUAGCGGUGAAAUGCGUAGAUAUCGGAAGGAACACCGGUGGCGAAAGCGGCACGCUGGGCCUCUUCUGACGCUGAGGCGCGAAAGCCAGGGGAGCAAACGGG
rnacentral:rRNA from 1 species